CUGGACAGAGGUGGGUAGGCCA
rnacentral:siRNA from 1 species